UACGAACUGUGCAAACGUUAUUCGGAAUCACUGGGCUUACAGGGUGCGUAGGCGGCUUGACAAGUAGGGUGUGAAAGCCCCCGGCUUAACCGGGGAACCGCGCCCUAAACUGUCGAGCUGGAGUGAGAUAGAGGUGUGCGGAACUUCCGGUGGAGCGGUGAAAUGUGUUGAUAUCGGAAGGAACGCCGGUGGCGAAAGCGGCACACUGGGUCUCAACUGACGCUGAGGCACGAAAGCCAGGGGAGCGAACGGG
rnacentral:rRNA from 1 species